rnacentral:rRNA from 1 species
AUAUCAGUCAUGCAUAGCAUAUCAAUAAGCGGAGGAAAAGAAACUAACAAGGAUUCCCUUAGUAACGGCGAGUGAAGCGGGAAGAGCUCAAAUUUGAAAUCUUCAAGGUUCUACCUUGACGAAUUGUAGUUUAUAGAAGUGUUUUCUGUUAGUGGAGUGGCAAAAGUUCUUUGGAAUAGGACAUCAUAGAGGGUGAGAAUCCCGUAUUUGGUCAUUCCUCCUAGCGUUGUGAUACACUUUCAACGAGUCGGAUUGUUUGGGAAUGCAGUCCAAAAUGGGUGGUAAAUUUCAUCUAAAGCUAAAUAUUGGCGAGAGACCGAUAGCGAACAAGUACCGUGAGGGAAAGAUGAAAAGAACUUUGAAAAGAGAGUUAAACAGUACGUGAAAUUGUCAAAAGGGAAGCGUUUGACACCAGUGUUGUUUUUCCGAAAAUCAAUUACGAAUGUUUUAUUUUUGAGAAGUUAUGACUUCAUCGGCUUGCUUCUCUCUUUAUGAAACUUUCUUAAUGCACUUUUCGGUUAACAAGUCAACAUCAAUUUCUUUUGUUGUAAAAGGAUAUGAGGAAGGUGGCUUUCUUUUCGGAGAAAGUGUUUAUAGCCUUGUGCCUCUGCAGUCGGAGAGAUUGAGGUCUGCAGCGUAGAUCCUUCGGGGUUAGAUACGUUUGUGCUAAGUUAUAGCUUUUCAUAGACAACUUGUUGACUAUGUUUAGUCUUGUAGCUUACUCGCUGACGCUAUUUUACCUACGCUUAGGAUGUUGAUGUGAUACUGCGAGC